rnacentral:tRNA from 1 species
CCUAAUAUAGCUUAAAUGAAAGCAAUUAAAUGUUAAUUAAAGGAAACUAUUUAUAGUUGUUAGGA